CAGAGGCCAGACACGCUGUGUGGCUGCAUCGCGACGAUUAGACUCUCCCGACGGUGAUCAAAUUGCGGCGAUCUACUACCCGCACAAAAGUAUUGUGUUCUGAACACAUUACAGUAAAGUGUUUACUGUUCGAAUUUGAAUUUCAAAUUUAAAUGAAUGCAUGCUAUUUACCAUAUUUAGAUCCUAGUGUAGGAUAAAUUCAUAUUAAUUAAUUAGAUU
rnacentral:lncRNA from 1 species